AUGGUCUGUAGAAUGUAGAAUCUACAUAUUUAGUAGUGCAAUUUACUGUUAAUGUGUAAUUACAAAAAGAGAAGACUGUGCAAGAAAACAAUGCAGUCCUAUGAAAUCGCACCACAUAAGGAUCUGAUGUAGACUGAGGAUCAGGAAAGGCAGCCACAGGAAGUGAGGAUGGAAGUUAUUUUGAAGUCGUGGUACACUGCUAAAGCUCUAUUUAACAACCAGCUUGUAACAUUCCUGAAAAUUUAACAGUCAGCCCUCGUGAGCCCAUGAAAGCUAAAUCCAGCGCAGCACUGAAGGUCAAGUGCAUUUAACUAGGUCAAUGUGCGUUUUGGAGGGGAGGACUAUGAGUCUAUUUUACCUUUGUUACCUGGCACAAGAUGGGCAAUGUGGAUCUUUGUGUUUGAGAAGAACAAAAAUUGACUAUAGUGAAACCUCUGUGACACAGGAUUUAUGAACAGCUCUCAAAGGACACACAUGAACAGGUAGUUUCUUAGCAAAGGGGUAAACAGAACAGAGUCAAACCAACUGAGAUAGUGUGUAGCAAGGGGCAAUACGCAAUACAUCAUCCAUAGCAUUGGUUGGGUGAAUAAGAAAGACUUCUAACCGACAACAUAUGGACAGAGGGAUAGAAGCAGGAGUGGAAGAGAUCCCUCAAGGGCGAAUGGAGGCUGCCAGAGAGACAAGACUGCCGAACGGUAACUUAUUGAGCCACUUUUUUUAAAACUGCCUUUGAAAAGAAGCUUGACUGAAAGAAAAGAAUUUAUGCAAUUAGAAUGUAUUUUUCUUUUGUGUUCUUAUCUGCUUCUCUCACAAGCUAUUUUUGACAAGAGGUCCAGAGGCAGCCAGUCCAGGGCUGGGGAAGACAUUGGAUGAUGCUGUCAAGGGGUCAGGAUCUUCUACUCUUGUGGUGCCAUCUUCAGCUGGUGGUUCUCCUCAUGGCCCCUGGAGAGCUGCCGCCCCUUUGGACAUUACAUCUGCAUUCCAGAAGGAAGAAGAAAACAGGGCAAUGCGUGAAAGGGCACACCGGCUGACUUUCCCUUUCUGCCAUUUUUCCCACUCACUUGAACAUAUAAUCUUUACUAUGUGAUAAAUUCUGGACUUCUGCUGGAGAAGGCCAUCGAGAGGACAUGACUGCCGAUCAACCCUCAAGCUGGACCUGGGCAAUCCUCACCCUCCUCUGUCCUUGGAAUGUAUGUUCUGCCCACUGUUCCCCCAUGGGAGCCAUUUUCAAGGAUGCAGCUUUGAGAGAGCAAUGUGUUGUUGAGAUCAUCUGGAAGGUGUGUGUGACUGACCCCGUUAAAGCCUCUAUGUAAACUUUUAAGAUUCUGGCUGGCAGGUGUGGAGAUCGAUUCAUCUUGCAGCCGCCCAAGACAAGUCUCAUAGGUCAAUUCCCUUGCUGAUUAAACCUGCCACCUUCCAGUCUGGAGUGGCUGCCUCUUUCUGUGGUCUCUCCUUGCCUUCCAUGUACGGGGGGGCCAGUUUCAGAUUUCACCAAGGGAACUCCUGAUGUUACAAACCAGCAACUUCCUAUUCUGUUCUGUGGCUCUUUUUGCCUAAUCCUGAACUAAUAACACAUUAUUAACUAAUGUAUUAUAAUUAAUUUGUUAAUUAAUAGCACAUUGAUAGGAUAAUACAGCCCAUCCCCAUUCAGUUUUUUCUUUUGGUCAUAGUGUUGUCACAGAUAUGGAUUUAGAUUUUCUGUAGACAAUCCCAUAUUCUGGGUUUGUGUGGUUGCUUCCUGGUGUCAUUUAACAGAUUUUUAUAUCUUCUUCCUAUUUCCUAUCCAUAGACGUUAGUGCUAUGGGCUUGAUUAGACUCAAGUUCCAUGUUUGGGGCAAGAACAUUUCAUUAACGUGCUUCAUAUUGUAUCACUGCAGGAGGGAAGUUGCCUUGUCUCAUUAUUAUUGAUGCUAAAAUUGAUCAAUGGGUUCAGAUGGCACAGCUCAAUCUCACCAAUAUAAUAUCUUAAUAAUAAUAAAAUAAGGUAAGCUUUUACUAAUUGUUCAUGCAUUGACAGUCAUUGCCUGAGCCAAUGAUUUUAAUCGGAAUUUUAAAUAGGGAUUUUCUGCGUCUGUGCUUUCUUCCAUAUUUAUGAGCUGGAAUUCUUCUGUAAAUAAGAAAUUUUCCUUAUCAUCUAGGGCUAUUUGGUUUUCGUGACAUAUAGUUUAUACAGGAAAUACAAGAUAGAUGCUUAAUUCUUUUCCUUUAAUUGCCAGUUUUCAUGGAAAGAAGUCGGUGGGUCCAAUUGUCUAGUUAUUCCCACUGGUGUCUAAUGGGUCCUCUCUCUUUCUCUCUCUCAAUCUCCUCUCCUACUUCUCCUCUCUUUUGUUAUGAAUCCAAUAGUUUUUAAAUAUUAAAUAAAUUUCAAUCAACUGAGUUUAUUAUUCUUUUUGAUGUUCACGUUGCCCUAUCUUUGGCCAAUGGGACCCCUUUCACGCCUGCUCCAGCACUUUUGGACAAGACCUUGAAUUACUGUCUUUAAUGGCUCUCUUUCUUUCUGACACAGUAGAGUAUCUCAGUCUUAAUUUUUUUUUGCUAAGACAUAGGCAGAGGGCUUUUAACAUUAUUACCACCCUCUUUCAUACUUUAAACUUUUGUCAUUUGAAAACUUUUAAAUCUACUUUAAAUGAUUAAAGUUAGAAUUUACAUAAUUAAAAUGUACCCACUUACAGGAGUUUUGACAAAUGCAUUCACCCGUGAUGUGACCACCGCAAUCUACACAGAAUAUAUUUCUAUCACCACAAAAUAUUUUCUGCCUGUUUCCAAUCAAUGCCCACUAGUACUCUCAGCCCCGGGUAACCACAGAUCUGCUUCUUAUCACUAUAGAUUGGAUUUUAGUUUUACCUUUCAUCAAAUUUCAUCAGAUUAAAAUGAUAUAAAAUCUACUUUUCUGCAUCUGGCAUCUUUCUCUUUGAAUAACGUUCUUGUGAUCCAUCUCUGUUGUUUCAUGUAGCAGUGGUUCAUUCUUUUCACUGCCAAGUGGUAUUCCGUUGUGUGGAUAUAUAAGAAUCUGUUCAUCCUUUUAUUUGUUGAUGGACAUUUGGGUUGUUUCCGGUUUUGGGCUAUUAUAAAUGAAGCUGCUAUGAGUAUUCAUUCACAAGUUUUUGUGUCGAAAAAUAUUACAAUUUUCCUUAGUAAAUAACAGGGAAUAGAGUUACUGAGCCAUAUGAGAAGUAUAGAUUUAACUUUAUAAGAACCCACAGAGCCAUUUUCCAAAGUAGUUAUACCAUUUAACCUUCCUACCAGCAAUGUGUGAGCAUCUCAGUUACUCUACAUCCUUGACAGCCACUGUUUUAGUUUACAUUCCUCUUAUGACUAAUGAUGUUGAGCAUACUUUCAAGUGCUUAUUGGCCAUUUGCAUACUUUCUUUUGUGAAGUGUUUG